AUGCACGCUGGCGGCUUGCCUCAUCCAUGCAAGUCGAGCGAACAGACGAGGAGCUUGCUCCUCUGACGUUAGCGGCGGACGGGUGAGUAACACGUGGAUAACCUACCUAUAAGACUGGGAUAACUUCGGGAAACCGGAGCUAAUACCGGAUAAUAUAUUGAACCGCAUGGUUCAAUAGUGAAAGACGGUUUUGCUGUCACUUAUAGAUGGAUCCGCGCCGCAUUAGCUAGUUGGUAAGGUAACGGCUUACCAAGGCAACGAUGCGUAGCCGACCUGAGAGGGUGAUCGGCCAGACUGGAACUGAGACACGGUCCAGACUCCUACGGGAGGCAGCAGUAGGGAAUCUUCCGCAAUGGGCGAAAGCCUGACGGAGCAACACCGCGUGAGUGAUGAAGGUCUUCGGAUCGUAAAACUCUGUUAUUAGGGUAGAACAAAUGUGUAAGUAACUAUGCACGUCUUGACGGUACCUAAUGAAAAAGCCACGGCUAACUACGUG
rnacentral:rRNA from 1 species